AAGAGGGCUUGAGGGCGCCUGGUGGCUCAGUUGGUUAAGCGUCUGACUCUUGGUUUCAGCUCAGGUCAUGAUCUCAUGGUUUGUGAGUCUGAGCUCCAUGUCAGGUUCUGGACUGCCAGUGCGGAGCCUGCUUGGGAUUCUCUCUCUCUCCCUUUCUCUGCCCCUACUCUGAACUCUCUCCCCCCCCCCCCCAAAAUAAAUAAACCUAAAAAAAAAAAAAAAAAAGAAAGGGGGCUUGAAAGACAGAAAAUUAUGUGCACGUUCCUACAUGUCUCACUAGUAUGCCAAGAAUGCAAGGCUAUGAUUGCUUUUUACCCAGGCCAUUUCUCAGAGUGUGUUUGCAGCAAGCAACAUUGAGAGGUGAAAUAGUUUCCCUCUUGGACAAAGAGCAGGCUUGAUUACUAUUUGUUAUACGAUGGUGGUACCCCAAGCUCUGUGUUCUCUCAAGUAACAUAAUCCACUCAGUGUGAUGGAAUUUGGAGGUGAUUAGGUCAUAAGGGCAGAGAACUCAUUAAUGGGAUUAGUGCCCUUAUAUAAGAGACUCCAGAGAGCUCCCUUGUGCCCUCUACCAUGUGAGAAGACCCCUAUCUAUGAAACAGGAAAGGGGCACCCACCCGACACGGAAUUUGAUGAUAUCUUAAUCUUGGACUUCCCAACCUCCAGAACUGUGAGAAAUAAGUUUCUAUUGCUCAUAAGCCACCCAGUCUACAGUACUUUGUCUCCAGUGACUAAGCUGUUAAUCAUGGUAUUAUGAAGACUCCCACACACAGAACACACCUUGAAGCAACACUUGCACAUACCUACCUACCAGAAUUCAAAUACAGGAACGGUCACUCCAGCAUUGCUCACAAGCGCCGGAAAUCGGGAGCAAACCAAAUGUCCAUCAGCAGUUAAAUGGAUAACCAGAUUGUGGUAUAUUCAGGUAGUCGAAUACUAUCCAGCAAUCAAGACAAAUAAGUUGUUCCAGGCAUACUAUGGAUGAAUCUAUCAAAUAAAAGCAAAAAAGAUGAUAAAACAAUUCGUAGAGAA